ACGGGUGAGUAACGCGUGGGAAUCUACCGUGCCCUGCGGAAUAGCUCCGGGAAACUGGAAUUAAUACCGCAUACGCCCUACGGGGGAAAGAUUUAUCGGGGUAUGAUGAGCCCGCGUUGGAUUAGCUAGUUGGUGGGGUAAAGGCCUACCAAGGCGACGAUCCAUAGCUGGUCUGAGAGGAUGAUCAGCCACAUUGGGACUGAGACACGGCCCAAACUCCUACGGGAGGAAGCAGUGGGGAAUAUUGGACAAUGGGCGCAAGCCUGAUCCAGCCAUGCCGCGUGAGUGAUGAAGGCCUUAGGGUUGUAAAGCUCUUUCACCGGAGAAGAUAAUGACGGUAUCCGGAGAAGAAGCCCCGGCUAACUUCGUGCCAGCAGCCGCGGUAAUACGAAGGGGGCUAGCGUUGUUCGGAAUUACUGGGCGUAAAGCGCACGUAGGCGGAUAUUUAAGUCAGGGGUGAAAUCCCAGAGCUCAACUCUGGAACUGCCUUUGAUACUGGGUAUCUUGAGUAUGGAAGAGGUAAGUGGAAUUCCGAGUGUAGAGGUGAAAUUCGUAGA
rnacentral:rRNA from 1 species